GGUUAGUCUGGAGGUAUUAAGUUAUUUCAGUUGAUUAUUCAGUCACUUACAGAUCAAACUUCUUGUUCUACUCUUUCCUCCCUUCUCACUACUGCACUUGACUCAUCUUAA
ensembl:Y_RNA Y_RNA Y RNA